rnacentral:rRNA from 1 species
AGCAGCCGCGGUAAUUCCAGCUCCAAUAGCGUAUAUUAAAGUUGUUGCAGUUAAAAAGCUCGUAGUUGAAUUUCGGGAUCAAUAUGUCGGUCGUGCCUUCGGUACGUACUGGCAUCAUUGAUUUCUCCCUUCUGACGAACCAUGAUGCCAUUAAUUUGGUGUCAUGGGGAGUCAGGACUGUUACUUUGAAAAAUUAGAGUGUUUAAAGCAGGCUCACGCUUGAAUACAUUAGCAUGGAAUAAUGAAAUAGGACGUUUGACCCUAUUUUGUUGGUUUCUAGGAUCAACGUAAUGAUUAAUAGGGAUAGUUGGGGGCAUUAGUAUUCAAUUGUCAGAGGUGAAAUUCUUGGAUUUAUUGAAGACUAGCUACUGCGAAAGCAUUUGCCAAGGAUGUUUUCAUCAAUCAAGAGCGAAAGUUAGGGGAUCGAAGACGAUCAGAUACCGUCGUAGUCUUAACCAUAAACUAUGCCGACUAGGGAUCGGAUGAUGUUAAUUUUUAAUGUA